UACAGAGGGUGCGAGCGUUAAUCGGAAUUACUGGGCGUAAAGCGCGCGUAGGCGGCUUUGCAAGUCGAGUGUGAAAUCCCCAGGCUCAACCUGGGAACUGCAUUCGAGACUGCAUAGCUAGAGUAUGGGAGAGGGAAGUGGAAUUUCAGGUGUAGCGGUGAAAUGCGUAGAUAUCUGAAGGAACAUCAGUGGCGAAAGCGAUUUCCUGGACCAAUACUGACGCUCAUGUGCGAAAGCGUGGGGAGCAAACAGG
rnacentral:rRNA from 1 species